rnacentral:rRNA from 1 species
CCAGACUCCUACGGGAGGCAGCAGUGGGGGAUAUUGCACGAUGGGGGAAACCCUGAUGCAGCGACGCCGCGUGGGCGAAGAAGUAUUUCGGUAUGUAAAGCCCUAUCAGCAGGGAAGAAGAAAUGACGGUACCUGAGUAAGAAGCACCGGCUAAAUACGUGCCAGCAGCCGCGGUAAUACGUAUGGUGCAAGCGUUAUCCGGAUUUACUGGGUGUAAAGGGAGCGCAGGCGGCACGGCAAGCCUGAUGUGAAAGCCCGCGGCCCAACCGCGGGACUGCAUUGGGAACUACCGGGCUGGAGUGCCGGAGGGGCAGGCGGAAUUCCUGGUGUAGCGGUGAAAUGCGUAGAUAUCAGGAGGAACACCGGUGGCGAAGGCGGCCUGCUGGACUGCAACUGACGUUGAGGCCCGAAAGCGUGGGGAGCAAACAGGAUUAGAUACCCCGGUAACA